rnacentral:piRNA from 1 species
UAACUGCCUUCUUGUCGUGGUAUG